rnacentral:tRNA from 1 species
GGGGUGGUGGCGCAGUUGGCUAGCGCGUAGGUCUCAUAGCUAAAACGUCAGUUAUCCUGAGGUCGAGAGUUCGAGCCUCUCACCUCA